rnacentral:rRNA from 1 species
CCCUUAGAUGUCCUGGGCCGCACGCGCGUUACACUGAUGCAUUCAACGAGCUUAUAACCUUGGCCGAGAGGCCUGGGCAAUCUUGUUAACGUGCAUCGUGAUAGGGAUAGAUUAUUGAAAUUAUUAAUCUUGAACGAGGAAUUCCUAGUAAACGCAGAUCAUCAAUCUGCAUUGAUUACGUCCCUGCCCUUUGUACACACCGCCCGUCGCACCUACCGAUUGGAUGGUCCGGUGAAGCCUCGGGAUUGUGGUUCUUGCCGCUUUAUUGUGGCGUGACCGCGAGAACUUGUCUAAACCUUAUCACCUAGAGGAAGGUGAAGUCGUAACA